AGUGAACGCUGGCGGUAGGCCUAACACAUGCAAGUCGAACGGCAGCACAGUAAGAGCUUGCUCUUACGGGUGGCGAGUGGCGGACGGGUGGGGAAUACAUCGGAAUCUACUUUUUCGUGGGGGAUAACGUAGGGAAACUUACGCUAAUACCGCAUACGACCUACGGGUGAAAGCAGGGGAUCUUCGGACCUUGCGCGAUUGAAUGAGCCGAUGUCGGAUUAGCUAGUUGGCGGGGUAAAGGCCCACCAAGGCGACGAUCCGUAGCUGGUCUGAGAGGAUGAUCAGCCACACUGGAACUGAGACACGGUCCAGACUCCUACGGGAGGCAGCAGUGGGGAAUAUUGGACAAUGGGCGCAAGCCUGAUCCAGCCAUACCGCGUGGGUGAAGAAGGCCUUCGGGUUGUAAAGCCCUUUUGUUGGGAAAGAAAAGCAGCAGGUUAAUACCCCGCUGUUCUGACGGUACCCAAAGAAUAAGCACCGGCUAACCUCGCG
rnacentral:rRNA from 1 species